CGCUGACUUGGUUAACACAUGUCAUUGUAUCCCAACUGUGUCGUUCAGCUUUUUAUUACGACUCGAUAAAACUCUGUCUCCAACUGUUACAUCCCAUAUCCUACUUCAAUUUUAGUUGAAAAAUCUCAUAAAAAUGUAUGUACGUUUUAAGUUUUGUUUGGAAAUACAGGUGUCAAAUGAACUGCACAAUGUCACAGAACGCCGAAUUCGUUCCAGGUUGUAUGAAGUAGCUGUAAAAUACCACAUUUCCAACCGGGAACCCUCAAACUACGUUUUAUGUUGAAUUGUAUAAUCCUAUCAGUUCAGUUAGAUCACCCUAUUUAAAAAUCGAAGUACCCUACUUACCCCUCCCCAUUGAAGACCCAGGUUAGAAUUUGUCUUUGAAACAGCAACCCAUAUUUUCAGUAAGAGGUGACUAACGGGAUUGGGUGGCCGUUCUUGAUUGCAUGAUGACGCAUAAAUCCUCGCCCUUAGUGUUCAGAUCAAUACUCAUUAUAUCAAUCACUGGCUUGUCUAGUCCAGAUUGUCAACAAAUCACCGUCACAAAGAUGGAAUAAAAGUGAAAUUGGAAAAAUCUGUUAUUGCAUUUGAAGUUCAUGCAUUUCAAAUUCGGUGCACAAUUGUCUGUCACAGUUCAGUGUUGGUACAUGUUUUAAUUAUUUUUCUUAAUGUGUCCGCGUUAAUAUAACAUUCUGAAUAACUAUUUAUUUCAUUUUUAUAUGAAAAGUCUGAGGGGGAACAUGCAAGCUUGUCUUGGAGAAGUUUCAAAAGUUUCAAAACGGUUUUAAUGUGGACGAAUAGAAAGCCUCAAUCGGUUAAUACCAACGAAACCUACCCGUAGUCCAUUCCCCUAAACCUUCUGACAAAUGUACAAAUUCAUAGAAAUUCAAGUAUGCAACUCUAAAGCCCCCUUCUGGUUGCCAUAUCUUCUGGUCAAAUCCCCCCCCUCCCCCUCCCCCCCUUUCUAUCAAACACUAAAUGGCCUGGCAAGCGCACGUUACCUCUGCAACUCAUCAUCAUCAUCAUCAUCAUCAUCAUAAGGUGCAGCUAAAUAUCUCACAUUCUAAGGAGUUCACGGAUUGUUUGUUCCAUUAUAUGAGGUGUGGAACUGACCAAUGGAGAUUCUGUUUGGGGUGACUCACCUUAUUAGGACACAGAGUUUUGUUAUAAGAAGGGACUUUCUUUGUCAUGUGAAAUUAGAAUGUUAAUAUAUUGUUGCAAAAGUAUAUUUUGAGCAAAAGGAAAUAUUCUUGCGCAUGACCUAAUUGUUUUCGCCCAUGGGCAAGAUAUUUUCAUAACGCUCUAAAUUAGCCGAAUUAAAUCAACAUGAUUUAAAUUUUGUGUGUCCUGAUACUUAUAGACAUAACUUUAAUUCAUUUACAACCUCCAAAGCAUGAAUUUUGAGUUUUCGAAACCAUAGUUUUCAUUUUUUUAUCCUUUGCAUAUAUUUUCAACUGCAUGUUGAAUUUUGUUAAAUCUUUUGUCAGAAGCUGGCUACAGUGCUGGACAUCUUCCAGAGAAAUUCUAGACUUUUGGGCUUCCAGAAUUAAAUUGUGACGUGUUAUAAUCGAACAUAUGUCUCCGGGAUGACGCACAAAUGCUUUAACCACGAUGCUAGACUUACCACCGCGUUGAUUUCUUCCGUCAAAGUUUUAUUUUGUGUAAAUCUUUAAAUUUUUAAAAGAGCUUUGUACUUCAAAGUUGGGAAACUUAACUCCCAAAGGAUGAUUUUGUUUCAAUAUUGCUCGAAAAUAGGAAUGUUGACACCUGAAGGUUGAAGUCAUUCAUUUUGUCAUACAGUCUUGCAGAGAGUUGGCGACUCUGAAUGUUUAUACAUAUACCUAAAUAAUAUAUCGAAAUAUUAAAUAGAUGAAGCUGAA
rnacentral:lncRNA from 1 species